GACGGGAGAUGCAAGCGUUAUUCGGAUUUAUUGGGCGUAAAGGGUUUGUAGGUUGUUGGUUAAGUCUAUGGUCAAAUUCCGAAGCUCAACUUCGGGCCGGCACUAGAAACUAAUCAACUUGAGUACGUUAGAGGCAGGGGGAAUUCCCAGUGUAGCGGUGAAAUGCGUAGAUAUUGGGAGGAACAUCAAUGGCGAAGGCACCCUGCUAGGCCGAUACUGACACUGAAAAACGAAAGCUAGGGGAGCAAAUGGGAUUAGAUACCCCAGUAGUCCUAGCUGUAAACGAUGGAUACUAGAUGUUGGAUUAAUACAGUAUCGUAGCUAACGCGUUAAGUAUCCCGCCUGGGGAGUACGCUCGCAAGGGUG
rnacentral:rRNA from 1 species